UACGUAGGGGGCUAGCGUUGUCCGGAAUCAUUGGGCGUAAAGCGCGCGUAGGCGGCGCGGUACGACCGCUGUGAAAGCCCCCAGCUCAACUGGGGAGGGUCAGCGGUAACGGCCGUGCUAUGAGUGCAGGAGAGGGAAGUGGAACUCCGGGAGUAGCGGUGAAAUGCGUAGAGACCCGGAGGAACACCAGUGGCGAAGGCGGCUUCCUGGUCUGCGACUGACGCUGUGGCGCGAAAGCUAGGGGAGCAAACGGG
rnacentral:rRNA from 1 species